UUUAUUUAGACAUAAAAGAGGACAUGCUGGGGAAUGUACUUCUUUGUAUGUUUAUCUUAUUGAUUAUUGAAUAAAAUACUGUUUGGCCAUGAGACAGCAAGUUAGAUAGGACUAGGAGUCAAAGAGGAUUCUGGGAAAUGUAGUAGAGAAGUGGUGAUCCAGGCAGGAAGUGACAUAGCAAGGAGACUCAUAUUUAAGCAAAGGAAACAGGAAGUGUCCCCUUUUCUCCUCCUUUCUUCCUCCAGCAGCGCAAUGUGAUCCACCGGCAAGGAGGGAUGCCAAUAAGGUGUCCGAUAAGAUAAGUCUUAUAAAAUAUAUAGAUUUAUGAUAAUUAAAACUGAGCUAGCAGAUGAGAAUCCUAGUCAUUGGCCAAGCAGCAUUUGAACCUAAUACAAGUCCCUCUGUGUAUUAAUUUGGGCCCUAACUCUGGUGGGCGGCUGGUGUAAAGCGCACACGUGCUGGUGGGGCUCAGCGGCUUUUGGUGGAAAGAUUUAUCGUAAUAUAAGGCCAGUGGAGAGAGGAGUACAGUCUAGGCAGUCUGAGGAGCAGUGCAGUCUGGAUAUGCAAUCAGAGGACAUGAUCGCCCCUUCGGUCUGAGCAUCCAUUGAGAGCCUUCAUCCAGCAGCUGGAAGUAGAAGCAGACACCCACAGCUAAACACUGAACUGAACUGGAAUCCAGUUGCAGAGAAGGAGGAGUGACGAGCAAAGGGGUCCAGACCAGGCUGGUGAAACCCACAGAAACAGCUGACCUGAACAAGAGGGAGCUCUUGGUCCCCAGACUGAUAGCUGGGAAACCAGCAUGGGACUGAUCCAGACUCCAUGAAUUUUUACAUAUGGCCUCUAACCCAUCUGGAAAUCAUUUUGAAGGCAUUUAUUCCUCACAGUUGUGGAGACUGGAAGCUCAGAAGCAAGUGCCAAAUGGCUCUGCCUCAGAGCAUGGAUGACUCGGAGGCAAUUUGUAUCACCAUGAGCUCACACCAAUAUGAGUGA
rnacentral:lncRNA from 1 species